rnacentral:rRNA from 1 species
UACGGAGGGUGCAAGCGUUGUCCGGAUUUAUUGGGUUUAAAGGGUGCGUAGGCGGUUCUUUUAAGUCCGGGGUGAAAGCCCACUGCUCAACAGUGGAACUGCCCUGGAAACUGGCGAACUUGAGUACAGACGAGGGUGGCGGAAUGGAUGGUGUAGCGGUGAAAUGCAUAGAUACCAUCCAGAACCCCGAUUGCGAAGCAGCUGCCUAGACUGUAACUGACGCUGAGGCACGAAAGCGUGGGGAGCGAACAGG